AAAAAAAAAAAAAUAAAAAAAAUAUAACAACAAUAAAUAAACCAAUAAAUGACAGUGGAUUGCGUGUUCGAAAUUCAUUACGAUGCGCGCACGCAUCAGGCUCCGGACUACUCUCUGUACCCGCGUGGACAAAACUAUUCGGCAAAUAUUAUCGGUACCUGUCCAUGCCUACCUGCCUACCGUACAGAUGUAUAAUAUUGUACUGCAAUCAGGUAACGAUUUUUCUACCGCACGUAUUUCAUUCGUACGGUGCACAAUACGCAUUACGUUUACGCACUCAUACGUAUAGAUUAUUUUAAAUAUUAUUAUUUCACGGCCUGCAAUAUAGACACAACGUUUACUCGUAUACCCCCAGGUGCAUGCCAUAUAUAUAUUAUUGUGUGUACACAUUUUUGUUGCUCGGUAAAAAGCGCAAAAACAAUAAAGUUUGACGUCCAAUCUGUCAAACCUCCGCGUAGGUAUUUUAAAUGUCGAGAACGUCGGACGGCAUGUUUUUCCGUUAAAAACGACUCUCCUCUGUACGCCCGAAUUGAAUACACGGUUUUCGACUGCGGUUUCACGUUCAAUACUUACGGUACCAUUUAUCAAAACUGUUCAUGUUUGAUAUUCGGUAUUAUGUUCAUUUAUUAAUACUUCUCGAGUAUUUUUCGCCGUUUGUGCGAAAUAUUUUAAUUAAAUCACUAAGCAUUAUUCAGAGAGCGGCCACGUGGAAUAAAUAUAAAAUAUAAUGUUGAAAUAAAAAACUACGAAAUAUCAAGUUAUUGUGAUUUUAAACACAUUUUUUUUUUCUUGUGUUUUUAUAGCAGUGUGGACAUUUAACCUAUCUUAUAUUUCGGACAUUUUAUGCGUAUGAAAUUAUAAAUUCUAGAUGUAUCAUCAAAGUAAAUCUAAUUCAUUGGACAUGUUAAUUACUAGAUAUAUAAUUAUGGGCAAUUUAACCGGUACCGUAUUUUUAUUAUUUUUUUUUAAAUAGUGUUAAGUAUCUUCUUUAAUGAAAUUCGUUGGGAUUUCGUUUCAUUUUUGAUACCGUGUACCAACGUUUGUCUGGACAUUUUUAUGAAAAUCGUUGUAUUUUAUGUAAUAGCUUGUAGGUAAUUUAAUAUAAAAUAUCGAAAAAAAUAAAUAUUGUUUAACACAUUAAUAUAUUGAACAAAUUAAUAAUAUUAUGAUGUUUCACUAAUGGUUAUUGGUAAAUAGGAUUUUAAUUCUUGUUUUUUUUUUCAGAGUGGUUCGGUCACACGUGUCUGUAUUAAUAAAUUAUAGUAACUGUUCAUUUUAGACUGAUUAUUUCCUGCUGACGCUAUCUGCGUUUUACUGUGAAGAAAUCGUGGCUAAUUCGAAAUUAAUAGAUUCAAUUGAACAUAAUAAUAACAUGUCUUGUAUAAUAAAUUCACAGUGAAUUAAAUACUUAACUACAGUCCACACGAUUCGACAAUAAUUGACAUUCAAUUACAGCAGGUACCUGUCAACUAGACGGUUGAAAACGAUUUCGUAAAUUGUUCAGUCAUUUACCUACUAUAGCGAAACACGG